rnacentral:rRNA from 1 species
UACGAAGGGGGCUAGCGUUGCUCGGAAUUACUGGGCGUAAAGGGCGCGUAGGCGGAUAGUUUUAGUCAGAGGUAAAAGCCCAGGGCUCAACCUUGGAACUGCCUUUGAUACUGGCUAUCUUGAGUUCGGGAGAGGUGAGUGGAACUGCGAGUGUAGAGGUGAAAUUCGUAGAUAUUCGCAAGAACACCAGUGGCGAAGGCGGCUCACUGGCCCGAUACUGACGCUGAGGCACGAAAGCGUGGGGAGCAAACAGG